rnacentral:ribozyme from 1 species
GUUUGUUUCUUUGUUGUUGUUUUGUUUCUUUGUUGUUUUCUUUUGCUUUCCUUUUUCUUUGUUUUUUUUUAUCCACAACAACACUAAGCUUAUCUAUAUUCCCCCUCCGAACAGAGAGGAAGGAGGAGGGGGAUAGGAAGAGAAGAAAAGAGAUUUCCUUGUUUUUGUUUGUUUGUUUGUUGAUGGGUUAUGGGGGCGUUAUUGAGCAAAAAAAAAGCCAGGCACAAAGAAAAACAACAUCAGGCUUGUUCUUCUUGGGGACAUGGGGGUGGGAAAAUCAGCUCUUGUCAUCCGUCUUUGUUCUGAUUUUUUUGCCGAAGAAUAUGACCCGACGAUAGAAGAUUGUUAUAGAAAAACCACAGAGAUUGAUGGGAUGACAUUCAUGUUGGAGAUUUUGGACACAGCAGGGCAAGAGGAAUUUACAUCUUUGAGAUCUUCUUGGGUGCAAAAAGCAC